rnacentral:rRNA from 1 species
CCUACGGGUGGCAGCAGUGGGGAAUAUUGCACAAUGGGCGAAAGCCUGAUGCAGCAACGCCGCGUGAGCGAUGAAGGCCUUCGGGUCGUAAAGCUCUGUCCUCAAGGAAGAUAAUGACGGUACUUGAGGAGGAAGCCCCGGCUAACUACGUGCCAGCAGCCGCGGUAAUACGUAGGGGGCUAGCGUUAUCGGGAAUUACUGGGCGUAAAGGGUGCGUAGGUGGUCCGGAAAGUCAGCGGUAAAAGCCCGGGGCUCAACCCCGGCGAGCCGUUGAAACUGUCGGACUAGAGACGGCGAGAAGUACGCGGAAUGCGCGGUGUAGCGGUGAAAUGCAUAGAUAGCGCGCAGAACUCCGAUUGCGAAGGCAGCGUACCGGCGCCGGACUGACGCUGAGGCACGAAAGCGUGGGUAUCGAACAGGAUUAGAUACCCGGGUAGUC